rnacentral:rRNA from 1 species
AGCGAACGCUGGCGGCAGGCCUAACACAUGCAAGUCGAACGAACUCUUCGGAGUUAGUGGCGGACGGGUGAGCAACACGUGGGAACGUGCCUUUAGGUUCGGAAUAACUCGGGGAAACUUGUGCUAAUACCGAAUGUGCCCUUCGGGGGAAAGAUUUAUCGCCUUUAGAGCGGCCCGCGUCUGAUUAGCUUGUUGGUGGGGUAAUGGCCCACCAAGGCGACGAUCAGUAGCUGGUCUGAGAGGAUGACCAGCCACAUUGGGACUGAGACACGGCCCAAACUCCUACGGGAGGCAGCAGUGGGGAAUCUUGCGCAAUGGGCGAAAGCCUGACGCAGCCAUGCCGCGUGGAUGAUGAAGGUCUUAGGAUUGUAAAAUCCUUUCACCGGUGAAGAUAAUGACUGUAGCCGGAGAAGAAGCCCCGGCUAACUCUGUGCCAGCCGCCGCCGUAACAC